UUAGUUUCCAGGAUUUUUCUCGCUGAAGAGGUUGUACACGAGUAUAAUGAGACAGAAUCGUUAAUUAUUAUCAACAAUUAUCAAAAAUUAUUUUGAAACAUUCGGAAAACUCCUGAUGAACCGACUUCUCUAAAACUUCUUCACAGAGCUUGAAAACACUAGUUUUAGUAAUGCACUAGCAUUAUCCUUAUGAAACAAAGAAGCAAGUGAGAGUGAGAGACCAGAAAAACAUGAAGAAAAAGUGAGUCACGUUAUGUUGAAGUUAGUUGAUAUUAUUGACAAACCACAUGAUUCCCCAGAAGACCAGCCCACAAAUUCACCAAAAAGCGUUGCUGAAAUGCCCUCGGAAUUAAAACAAUAGCAAAAAUGCUAAUUUUUCG